UACGAAGGGGGCUAGCGUUGCUCGGAAUCACUGGGCGUAAAGCGCACGUAGGCGGACUCUUAAGUCGGUGGUGAAAUCCUGGAGCUCAACUCCAGUACUGCCUUCGAUACUGAGAGUCUCGAGUCCGGGAGAGGUGAGUGGAACUGCGAGUGUAGAGGUGAAAUUCGUAGAUAUUCGCAAGAACACCAGUGGCGAAGGCGGCUCACUGGCCCGGUACUGACGCUGAGGUGCGAAAGCGUGGGGAGCAAACAGG
rnacentral:rRNA from 1 species